UACAGAGGGUGCAAGCGUUAAUCGGAAUUACUGGGCGUAAAGGGCGCGUAGGCGGAUAGUUAAGUGAGAUGUGAAAUCCCUGGGCUUAACCUAGGAACUGCAUCUGAAACUGGCUGUCUGGAGUGCGGUAGAGGGUAGUGGAAUUUCCGGUGUAGCGGUGAAAUGCGUAGAUAUCGGAAGGAACACCAGUGGCGAAGGCGGCUACCUGGACUGACACUGACGAUGAGGCGCGAGAGCGGUGGGGGAAGCA
rnacentral:rRNA from 1 species